UAACGCACGAAAGUUCUAUGAGAAGUUAAACCGUUCACGUAAGGGCCACGUGCCGCAGCCCGAUACAUGUAUAAGGAUAUAACCGGGACCCUUCUUCCAAACCAGCGUGAGGUGGUCCAAAGGUGGCGGCAGCACUACGAAGAGCACCUGAAUGGCGAUGUGGCAGACAACAGUGGUAAUAUGGUAAUGGAGCACGCGCGCAGGACAUGCGACUUUCGGAUCCGAAUCUCCAAGUAUGCGGGCAGAUCCUGGAUAAACUCAAUUUAAGAGUUAUGGGCUACACUUUUGACAACACGGCAAUUUAACUGUCUCCAUGCUGCCCCGGAUCUGAACGGCGUGUUCGAGCAGACAUACUGUAGACACUAUCUUCAAGAAGUCGUGAUGGAUCCACCAGGACAAUGUGCAACUUAUGCUUUCCAUAAUCUCCAUGCUUGACGUCCCUCACAGGGUCUGGCAGCGAUUCCAGACUGGCUGCUACUCAUCGCCGUUUUAAAAUGCAGUGUGAAUUUUAAUUAGGAAAAAUAAAAUAAUACAACUUCAACAAUCGAAUUUAAGGUCUUCUCUUUAUAAAUUAAUGAAACGAAGAAAACUCAAUUUAUCAUAUUCGUUUGGCAUGCAUACAAUACAUAAUACAACCGAGUACAUCGUACUGCCUUACAUCAAAUUAUUUUACAUCGCUUUAAUUACGUCGCUGAAUUUUGUACAUCAUGGAAAAAAAUACACCUGCGCUGUUACUCACGAAUUGUCGUGUACAUCAAAACAGUGUAAUAUCACAGCUCUGACGGAAUAGUCUAUGUGCAUCUGUUUCGAAUGUAAUAUUCAACAACUGUUUUU